GAUGAACGCUGGCGGCGUGCCUAAUACAUGCAAGUCGAGCGAACGGACGAGAAGCUUGCUUCUCUGAUGUUAGCGGCGGACGGGUGAGUAACACGUGGAUAACCUACCUAUAAGACUGGGAUAACUUCGGGAAACCGGAGCUAAUACCGGAUAAUAUUUUGAACCGCAUGGUUCAAAAGUGAAAGACGGUCUUGCUGUCACUUAUAGAUGGAUCCGCGCUGCAUUAGCUAGUUGGUAAGGUAACGGCUUACCAAGGCAACGAUGCAUAGCCGACCUGAGAGGGUGAUCGGCCACACUGGAACUGAGACACGGUCCAGACUCCUACGGGAGGCAGCAGUAGGGAAUCUUCCGCAAUGGGCGAAAGCCUGACGGAGCAACGCCGCGUGAGUGAUGAAGGUCUUCGGAUCGUAAAACUCUGUUAUUAGGGAAGAACAUAUGUGUAAGUAACUGUGCACAUCUUGACGGUACCUAAUCAGAAAGCCACGGCUAACUACGUGCCAGCAGCCGCGGUAAUACGUAGGUGGCAAGCGUUAUCCGGAAUUAUUGGGCGUAAAGCGCGCGUAGGCGGUUUUUUAAGUCUGAUGUGAAAGCCCACGGCUCAACCGUGGAGGGUCAUUGGAAACUGGAAAACUUGAGUGCAGAAGAGGAAAGUGGAAUUCCAUGUGUAGCGGUGAAAUGCGCAGAGAUAUGGAGGAACACCAGUGGCGAAGGCGACUUUCUGGUCUGUAACUGACGCUGAUGUGCGAAAGCGUGGGGAUCAAACAGGAUUAGAUACCCUGGUAGUCCACGCCGUAAACGAUGAGUGCUAAGUGUUAGGGGGUUUCCGCCCCUUAGUGCUGCAGCUAACGCAUUAAGCACUCCGCCUGGGGAGUACGACCGCAAGGUUGAAACUCAAAGGAAUUGACGGGGACCCGCACAAGCGGUGGAGCAUGUGGUUUAAUUCGAAGCAACGCGAAGAACCUUACCAAAUCUUGACAUCCUUUGACAACUCUAGAGAUAGAGCUUUCCCCUUCGGGGGACAAAGUGACAGGUGGUGCAUGGUUGUCGUCAGCUCGUGUCGUGAGAUGUUGGGUUAAGUCCCGCAGCGAGCGCAACCCUUAAGCUUAGUUGCCAUCAUUAAGUUGGGCACUCUAAGUUGACUGCCGGUGACAAACCGGAGGAAGGUGGGGAUGACGUCAAAUCAUCAUGCCCCUUAUGAUUUGGGCUACACACGUGCUACAAUGGACAAUACAAAGGGCAGCGAAACCGCGAGGUCAAGCAAAUCCCAUAAAGUUGUUCUCAGUUCGGAUUGUAGUCUGCAACUCGACUACAUGAAGCUGGAAUCGCUAGUAAUCGUAGAUCAGCAUGCUACGGUGAAUACGUUCCCGGGUCU
rnacentral:rRNA from 1 species